ensembl:misc_RNA 7SK 7SK RNA
ACUCUACUAGGGUCGAAGAGGACGACCUUCCCCUAUAGAGGAGGACCGUUCUUCGGUCAAGGGUAUACGAGUAGCUGCGCUCCCCUGCUACAACCUCCAAACAAGCUCUCAAGGAUUAAACUCUAAAAGAAAUGAAGGAAGGCAAGA